UUCGGCGGGCCGGAGGCUAGAGGCCAAGCUACGACCGCGUUCCCUGCGGCGGCGAAGCCCGUGCCAUCCCCGGUUCCGUGGGACGCAAUUCUCCCCGAUGGCGGACGCCGCAACCGGUCGGGUUGACAAAGAGUCGGCCGAAAGUUCGUGCGACGGCAGCUGCCCGUGCGGUGGUCGUGAGACCUCCAGCGCGGCGGAUAUAGCCAGCGCGUCCCAGGCGCGACACCCGAUCGUGGCGCAACGGUCCCGAAAUCGGGACCACCAGCCGUCCCCCUCCCGGCGGGCUUGCCGGCGGGUCGCGGUGGCGUUGGCGAACCACCCCUAGCGGUGGCCGUCGCGUCGCUGCGGUCCGCGUCAGGUAGUCAGUGUACCCGCGGGGGCGUGCUCCCUCCUCCGGAGGUUAGCGGCGAGUAGGUCGGUCACCCACCCGACCCGUCUUGAAACACGGACCAAGGAGUCUAACAUGUGCGCGAGUCAAAGGGUCUUGAACAGGCCCCCAGGCGCAAUGAAAGUGAACGGCGGUCCUGGAGACCGCCGAGAGUUGGGAUCCCCCGUCCCAAGCGGCGGGGGCGCACCAACGCCCCUCCCCGUCCGGUUCGCCGGUGGGGCGGAGGCUGAGCGCACACGUUGGGACCCGAAAGAUGGUGAACUAUGCCUGGACAGGACGAAGCCAGAGGAAACUCUGGUGGAGGUCCGAGCGGU
rnacentral:rRNA from 1 species